rnacentral:rRNA from 1 species
AUGAACGUUGGCGGUGCGCCUAAUACAUGCAAGUCGAACGGAGACUGUAGCAAUACUGUCUUAGUGGCGAACGGGUGAGUAACGCGUUGGUGAUCUGCCUCGAAGUGUGGAAUAACGUUCCGAAAGGAGCACUAAUACCGCAUGGUCUUCUGGUUUUUAGAAAACCGGAAGUAAAGGAUUUAUUCGCUUCGAGAGGAGCCUGCGUCCCAUCAGCUAGUUGGUAAGGUAAUGGCCUACCAAGGCAAUGACGGGUAGGGGACCUGAGAGGGUGGCCCCCCACAAUGGAACUGAAACACGGUCCAUACACCUACGGGUGGCAGCAGUAGGGAAUAUUAGUAAUGGGCGAAAGCCUGAACUAGCGACACCGCGUGUGCGAAGAAGGCCUUCGGGUUGUAAAGCACUUUUAGAGAGGAUGAGGAAGGACGGUACUCUCUGAAUAAGUCUCGGCUAACUACGU